GCGCGGCAGGGGCGGCCCGCGGCCCUCAGCGCCCCGUUCUCCGGCCUGCCCGGCUUCCUCUCCUGCCGCAGGAAACUGAAUCUGUAGGAGCUUUAAUCCAUCACACUACCCACUGUUUGGCCAGAAGCUGCAGAAAGACUGAGCAAGACCAAGCAGGUGGUGUUGUCUAGUAAUGCAUCAUUAGAAGAUGGAGAAGGCAGAGCAGCAGACAAAUACCUAGAGGAGUUCAGCUGAAGCUUUCCUCUCCAAGUGCUGAAGCUCAUCCUGUUACACCAUGCUUGGUUGAAUCUCAAAUAACACCCAACUCUACAUUUUUGCGAGAGGUGAGAAGUUCCUCCUUCCACCUGCAAAGGCAACUACAGACACCAAGACAAAGAGCCAUGUGAAGAAGAAACACCAAGAGACUUUUAAGAGCAGGAAGUACUCACUCGUCCACUGAGCCAGCCAGGGGUUUCUUGGAUCGUUUUAUUGCAUAGAUGCAGC